rnacentral:rRNA from 1 species
AGUGAACGCUGGCGGUAGGCCUAACACAUGCAAGUCGAACGGCAGCACAGUAAGAGCUUGCUCUUACGGGUGGCGAGUGGCGGACGGGUGAGGAAUACAUCGGAAUCUACUUUUUCGUGGGGGAUAACGUAGGGAAACUUACGCUAAUACCGCAUACGACCUACGGGUGAAAGCAUGGGAUCUUCGGACCUUGCGCGAUUGAAUGAGCCGAUGUCGGAUUAGCUAGUUGGCGGGGUAAAGGCCCACCAAGGCGACGAUCCGUAGCUGGUCUGAGAGGAUGAUCGGCGACACUGGAACUGAGACACGGUCCAGACUCCUACGGGAGGCAGCAGUGGGGAAUAUUGGACAGUGGUCGCAAGCCUGAUCCAGCCAUACCGCGUGAGUGAAGAAGGCCUUCGGGUUGUAAAGCCCUUUUGUUGGGAAAGAAAAGCAGCAGGUUAAUACCACGCUGUUCUGACGGUACCCAAAGAAUAAGCACCGGCUAACUUCGUG